rnacentral:rRNA from 1 species
GUCUAUGGCCAUGCCACCCUGAACAAGCCCAAUGUCUGAUCUUAGAAUCUAAGCAGGGUCAGGCCUGGUUAGUACUUGGAUGGGAGACCACCUAGGAAGACCAGGUGCUAUAGGCA